UACGGAGGAUUCGAGCGUUAUCCGGAUUUAUUGGGUUUAAAGGGUGCGUAGGCGGACUGGUAAGUCAGCUGUGAAAUUUUACGGCUCACCCUUGAAAUUGCAGUUGAUACGGUUGGUCUUGAGUAUACAUGAGGUGGGCGGAAUUUGUGGUGUAGCGGUGAAAUGCUUAGAGAUCACAAAGAACUCCGAUUGCGAAGGCAG
rnacentral:rRNA from 1 species